UACGUAGGGUGCAAGCGUUGUCCGGAAUUAUUGGGCGUAAAGAGCUCGUAGGCGGUCUGUCGCGUCGGCUGUGAAAACCCGGGGCUCAACCCCGGGCCUGCAGUCGAUACGGGCAGACUAGAGUGCGGUAGGGGAGACUGGAAUUCCUGGUGUAGCGGUGAAAUGCGCAGAUAUCAGGAGGAACACCGGUGGCGAAGGCGGGUCUCUGGGCACAACUGACGCUGAGGAGCGAAAGCGUGGGGAGCGAACAGG
rnacentral:rRNA from 1 species